UGCUCCUGCUGCUGAGGAGGAGGAUGAGGCUGCUCCUGCUGCUGAGGAGGAGGAGGACGAUGACGAGGCUGCUCCUGCAACUGAGAAGAUAGACAAGGAAGCUCCUAGAGAAGAGGAGCAGGCUUCUAUUGCUAAGGACGUAGAGGAAAAAUCUCCUGCAGAGCAGCAGGCAACUGUGGCAUUGGAAGAACGUUCUCCUGUUGAAGAGGAGCCUGCUGCUGCAGAAGAUAACGUGUUAGAUUUGGAGGCAUCACAUAGAUGGGCACAUCACUUAGAUGGGAAGCCUGUCGAACAGGUGGACUCUGCUGUCACAAAGAAGGUAUUGGAGGAAGAUCAGGAAGACUUGGAUGAGGCGGCGGCAGAGGAGGUGGUUGAGGAAGUAGAAGGGCAAGAUGAAGCUGAAGAGGAGCCAGAGGAUGACCAGUCUGUGGACAAAGAACAACAACCCAAAGAUGUGACAUUUUCAGAGGAGGAAUUGUGAAUGUAAGCAGCGAGUGCAGUGUUCCACAAACACCAAAGUCACGGGGGGUAAUGGACACCUUCAACAAGCAUCAUGACAAAUUCCAAGGCUCUGCCGAAGUUGGCAUGGAAACGUGCGGCGCAUUGAAUAUUUCUCUGCAAGUAAAACGUCAGGUCAAUAGAAUUCAGUAAGCUCUCUGAAAUGUGUUGUCACCUCAACGAGUGUGCGUAUGAGAGGGCUAACUGGUCACGCAGUCGUUGCCAAUGUUCAGGUUUCACCUGCCAAUACUCCAAGAAGCCUUAACCAAUGUUACCAGCGUGGCCAUCUUUUGUGCACGUUCAAAGUUUUUGUGAUGGUUCAGUUCUGGCUGACUUCAUUGUGAUAGGGAGAAAACUAAACGGCGAUCGAAAAAAAUGUAUUCACUCUCACAAUCAUGAACAAUUUAGCAAAGCCAUACAAUGUGCCUGUCUUGCUGGCAUGAAAAUGUCAUUGUCUAAAACCAGUGUGUGUGGGGUGGGGUGGGGGGGACUGGUAAGGGAUAUAGAACUAAGAGUCACUAAAUGUACGUUACUGUAUCCUAAUUGUUUACACAGGCAAAACAGCCUACUAAAGCAAUAGAGGUGGUAAUGGUGGGAUCUGUGAAAUGUAUAUUUUCUGGCAGUUUCACUAAUGGUAAUUUAGAGUGUAGUAUUUCUUUUUUACUGACUUAUUUUGACUUGACACAAAGUGCACUGUUCCUACGAUGGUGUGGUUUCUUAUUUAGUCUUAUCACAACACACUGUACUGCUCAUCUUAGAACUCUAUGAUGUACUUUUAUAAAAUAAAUCCUCUGUAGUUUUUUACUCUGAA